UGUCCCUGCUCCUUGCACACACCGCCCGUCAAACCAACCGAGUGGAUCUCGGACGAGGCCGUCUCAUAAGGGAUGGUCAAGUUCAAGGUUCGCAAGGGGGGUU
rnacentral:rRNA from 1 species